rnacentral:rRNA from 1 species
ACUCCUACGGGAGGCAGCAGUGAGGAAUAUUGGACAAUGGGCGCAAGCCUGAUCCAGCCAUGCCGCGUGCAGGAAGACUGCCCUAUGGGUUGUAAACUGCUUUUGUACGGGAAGAAACCACCCCCUCGUGAGGGGCUUGACGGUACCGUAAGAAUAAGGAUCGGCUAACUCCGUGCCAGCAGCCGCGGUAAUACGGAGGAUCCGAGCGUUAUCCGGAAUCAUUGGGUUUAAAGGGUCCGUAGGUGGAUUGGUAAGUCAGAGGUGAAAGCCUGCAGCUCAACUGUAGAACUGCCUUUGAUACUGCUAGUCUUGAGUCGUUGUGAAGUGGUUAGAAUAUGUAGUGUAGCGGUGAAAUGCAUAGAUAUUACAUAGAAUACCAAUUGCGAAGGCAGAUCACUAACAACGUACUGACACUGAUGGACGAAAGCGUGGGGAGCGAACAGGAUUAGAUACCCUGGUAGGCUCUGCU